ACGAUCUUGAACCGUUUGAUUCGGAAAUAGAACGUACCUUCAGACGAAGACGCAGAGAACACAAACAAAUACAGCAGCAUCAAAUGGCUGACAAUUUAAAUAACCCUAUCCCUAUACAGCCAAUUGGACAAAUGGCCGCGAGAAAUCAACAGCAAGAGCAAAGAGAAGUAAAUGAAGGGGACUUGCCAGUGUCUAUGUUUUUGACGCCUAUAGCAGCACCCGCGCGGUCCAGCAUAGUAUAUCCAGAAUUUGGGGUAAACAACUUUCAGAUACGGGCUGAUUGGAUUAAUUUGAUGAGCAACACUCUGCAAUUCUACGGGUUACCUCAUGAGAAUCCAAACACGCAUAUCUCAAGGUUUCUCCGAAAUUGUCAGAAUUGUCAUGCUCCCGGGGUUAAUGAGGAUGCCAUCAAGCUGCGAUUAUUCCCAUAUACACUAAGAGAUGCAGCAUUGGAAUGGCUGGAUGCCGAACCGGAUAGAAGCAUUACCACAUGGGAGGAACUGACCAGGAAAUUCUGCAAUAAGUUCUUUCCACCAGCUAAGGUAGCAAAAAUCAGACUGGAAAUUCAAACUUUUCAACAGAGAGAUGGGGAGAGCUAUCAUGAAGCAUGGAACAGAUUUAAGGAGUUGAUGAGGAAGUGUCCAAAUCAUGGGAUCACUAUUGGAAAUCAAGUGCAGUAUUUCUACACGGGACUUUCAUCAUUAUCCAAAUCUCAAGUGGAUUCCUCUGCAGGCGGAUCGAUCAUAGGGAAAUCAGUGCAACAAUGUAUGGAUCUCUUUGAGUUGAUUGCUACUACUCAUUCCAUGUUUUCAUCAGAAAGAGUGGUGCCUCCAAAAACAGCGGGGAUAUACGAAGUAGACAGCUCAGCGUCGACCAACGCCCAAAUAGCAGCAUUGACAAAACAAGUGGAGUUAUUGGUGAAGUCACAAACAAAAGGAGCACAUGCAGUGAUAGCCGGUCCAUCAUGUGAGAACUGCGGAGCUAAUCAUCUAACAGAAAAUUGCACAUCUUUAGGCUUUCCAGAGGAACAAAUCAACUUCAUUCAAAAUGGCUCUCAAAAUUUUAAUCCCUUUUCACAGACAUUUAACCCAGGAUGGAGACAACACCCAAACUUCAGAUGGUCGGAUAAUCAGCAAGGGAGUAGUUCGAACAAUAACCAGCUAGAGAAAAGACCAAAUUUGGGGGAGAUGUUCAACCAGUACAUGCAGAAGACAGAUAAGGUAUUCCAACAGAUUGACACUAACUUUCAGAAUCAGCAAGCAUCUAUUAAGAAGCUGGAAACUCAAAUUGGUCAGAUAGCUCAACAGCUUGCAGAACGCCCACAAGGGACGUUGCCAGGCAACACAUUGGUCAAUCCAAAAGAGCAAGUGCAAGCUAUUACAACUAGAAGUGGAGUGCAACUUCCAGAGAUACAUGUGAAGAGACCAGAUAGAAAAGACAGAAAUAAUGGAUGAAGAGGCUGGGACAAAAGCAGAGUCUGAACAACCAACUAACGAGGAGGAUAAAAGGAAAGAAACAUCCACGGUGAGAGCACCCACCCCCGUGAAAGCUUAUGUGCCACCAAUUCCCUUCCCUCAAAGGUUACAAAGAAAGAAGUUGGACAAACAGUUUGCAAAGUUUGUGGAGAUUUUCAAGAAACUGCACAUCAAUAUUCCGUUCGCAGAUGCAAUAGCCCAAAUGCCCAGUUAUGCAAAAUUCUUAAAGGAGAUUCUGUCUAACAAAAGGAAGCUGGAAGAACAUGAGACUGUCUGUCUAAACGAGGAGUGCAGUGCAAUUCUAUUGAAAAAGCUACCUCCUAAACUAAAUGACCCAGGGAGUUUUACGAUACCUUGCACAAUUGGUUCUAACUAUUUUGAGCAUUCGUUAUGUGAUUUAGGUGCCAGUGUUAAUUUGAUGCCCCUCUCUGUUUACAAGUCUCUUGGAUUAGGAGAAGCAAAACCUACAACCAUCUCUUUGCAAUUGGCCGACAGAUCGAUCAAACGACCAAAGGGGAUUAUUGAAGAUGUGCUAGUCAAAGUUGAUAAAUUUAUUUUUCCGGCUGAUUUCAUCAUUUUGGACAUGGAUGAAGAUUCAAACAUCCCUCUAAUCUUAGGAAGACCCUUCUUGGCUACCGGAAGAGCGCUGAUUGAUGUUUAUGAUGGAAAGAUGAUUCUUCGGGUGGACAAUGAGCAAGUCAUAUUCAACAUGUUUAAGGCGAUGAAACAUCCACUGACUUCAGACACCUGCUGCCAAGUAGACGUUCUUGAAAAGUUGGUGGCAGAUACAUUUGAGACAGAGCAUCAAACAGUUCUUUGUGAAGCAGAAAUUACACAAUCUGGAGCAGCAAGUGCAGAAAAAACUGAAUGUAUUGUCAAUUUAGCGAAGCAACCAAUAGGAAGAAGACAUUGGCAGUAUGAAUCUCUUGGUGACAAUCCUUCACCCCCAGUACCUUCAGUAGAAAAGGCACCCACUCUUGAACUAAAGCCCUUACCUUCACAUCUCCGUUAUGCAUAUUUGGGAGAAUCUACAACACUUCCAGUAAUUAUUGCAAAUGACAUGACAAUGGAAGAGGAGAAUAAAUUGUUGGAGGUACUCAAGCAGCACAAAACGGCAAUUGGAUGGACAAUAGCUGACAUCAGAGGAAUAAGUCCAACUCUUUGUAUGCACAAGAUUUUAAUGGAGGACGGGUCAAAGCCAUCAGUGGAAGGACAACGUAGAUUAAAUCCAACUUUGAAAGAAGUAGUGCGAAAAGAAGUGCUGAAAUUGUUGGAUGCAGGUAUUAUCUAUCCAAUCUCUGAUAGUUCAUGGGUGAGUCCAGUGCAUGUUGUGCCAAAAAAAGGUGGAAUCACAGUGGAGAAGAACGACAAUAACGAGCUGAUACCAACACGAUUAGUAAUAGGGUGGAGAGUAUGUAUAGAUUACAGAAAGCUAAAUAAUGCAACCAGAAAAGAUCAUUUUCCAUUGCCAUUCAUUGAUCAAAUGUUGGAGAGGUUGGCCGGUCAUUCUCAUUACUGCUUUCUGGACNUGAAAUUGUUGGAUGCAGGUAUUAUCUAUCCAAUCUCUGAUAGUUCAUGGGUGAGUCCAGUGCAUGUUGUGCCAAAAAAAGGUGGAAUCACAGUGGAGAAGAACGACAAUAACGAGCUGAUACCAACACGAUUAGUAACAGGGUGGAGAGUAUGUAUAGAUUACAGAAAGCUAAAUAAUGCAACCAGAAAAGAUCAUUUUCCAUUGCCAUUCAUUGAUCAAAUGUUGGAGAGGUUGGCCGGUCAUUCUCAUUACUGCUUUCUGGACGGAUAUUCUGGGUAUAAUCAAAUAGUUAUUGCUCCAGAAGACCAGGAGAAAACAACUUUCACAUGUCCCUAUGGAACUUUUGCGUUUAGAAGGAUGCCUUUUGGAUUAUGCAAUGCACCCGCAACCUUUCAACGGUGCAUGAUGGCCAUAUUCUCUGACAUGGUGGAAAAAUACAUCGAGGUAUUCAUGGAUGAUUUUUCUGUGUUUGGAGAUUCAUUUGAUGACUGCUUGGAUCGGUUGACUCUUGUACUGCAAAGAUGUGAAGAAAAGAACUUAGUGCUAAAUUGGGAAAAAUGCCAUUUCAUGGUAAAAGAGGGGAUAGUGCUGGGGCACAGGAUUUCCUCAAAGGGAAUUGAAGUUGACAAAGCCAAAAUACAAGUGAUUGAAAAAUUGCAGCCUCCUAAUUCAGUUAAGGGGAUCAGGAGCUUCUUAGGACAUGCAGGGUUUUACAGAAGGUUCAUUCAAGAUUUCUCAAAAAUUACAAAACCUUUAUGUAAUCUAUUGGAGAAGGAUGUGUCAUUUCACUUUUCUGAUGAGUGCUUAAAUGCCUUUAACACUUUGAAAGAAAAGUUAACUUCGGCACCUGUAAUAGUAGCACCUGAUUGGGAUCUACCUUUCGAACUUAUGUGUGAUGCUAGUGAUUUUGCAGUGGGAGCAGUGCUUGGCCAACGUAAAGGCAAAGUGUUACAUGUAAUCUACUAUGCCAGCAAAACCUUGACAGAUGCUCAGAUCAACUACGCAACAACGGAAAAAGAGAUGCUAGCAGUGGUCUUUGCCUUCGACAAAUUUCGUUCCUAUCUGAUUGGUUCAAAGGUGAUAGUCUACACUGACCAUGCAGCAUUGAAAUAUCUGUUUGAGAAGAAGGAUGCUAAACCUAGGCUGAUUCGAUGGAUUCUGUUACUGCAAGAGUUUGACAUUGAAAUUCGCGAUAAAAAGGGUACAGAAAAUCAGGUAGCAGAUCAUUUAUCAAGGCUAGAGCAACUCCGUGAUUCAAAUGAUGUGGAUAUUAAUGAGGUCUUCCCAGAUGAGCAGUUAUUGCAGAUAGAAAAGGCUCCAUGGUAUGCAGACAUUGUUAAUUACUUAGCUAGUGGCUAUAUGGAUCCUGAUCUCACCUAUCACCAGAAAAAGAAGUUGAUUCAUGAAGCGAAAUUUUAUUAUUGGGAUGAUCCAAAUUUGUACAGAAGAGGGGCAGACCAGAUCAUUAGGAGAUGUGUGCCAGAGGAUGAGAUGAAACCUAUCCUUUCACGGGUUCAUGCAUCGGCUUAUGGAGGACACUUUGGCCCCACUAAAACAGCAGCAAAGGUGCUUCAAUGUGGUUUCUUUUGGCCUACAUUAUUCAAGGAUUGCCACAGUUUCUACAGAUCAUGUGAUAAAUGUCAAAGAACAGGUAACAUAUCGGCUCGUCACGAGAUGCCACUUAACAACAUUUUGGAGGUGGAAAUGUUUGAUGUCUGGGGGAUUGAUUUUAUGGGUCCCUUUCCAUCAUCUUACAACAAUCGGUACAUCCUAGUGGCAGUGGAUUAUGUCUCUAAAUGGGUAGAAGCUAAAGCAUUGCCUACAAAUGACGCGAGAGUAGUGGUGGACUUCAUAAAGAAACACAUCUUUACCCGCUAUGGAUCACCUAGGGCCAUAAUAAGUGAUGGUGGAACUCAUUUUCGCAAUCGGUUAUUCCAGGCAGUGCUGCAUAAGUACGGGGUACAACAUCGAAUUGCCACUCCUUACCACCCUCAGACAAGUGGACAGGUAGAAACCUCGAACAGACAGUUGAAAAGAAUUCUGGAGCUCACUGUGAAUGCAUCUCGCAAAGAUUGGUCAAAGAAAUUAGACGAUGCUUUAUGGGCAUAUCGCACUGCGUACAAGACACCUAUUGAAAUGUCCCCAUAUCGACUAGUUUUUGGAAAAGCAUGUCACCUACCAGUGGAAUUUGAACAUAGAGCAUACUGGGCAUUGAAGCAGCUAAACAUGGACCUCGAAAAGGCAGGAGAAACAAGAAUACUGCAGCUACAUGAAUUGGAAGAAUUCAGAAGAGAAGCAUAUGAGAAUGCAACCAUCUACAAGGAAAGGACGAAGCAGUGGCAUGACAAAAAUAUCAGGCAAAGAAUUUUUAGAGUGGGAGAUCAAGUGCUUUUAUACAAUUCCAGACUUAAACUGUUUCCAGGAAAGUUGAAAUCUAGAUGGUCCGGCCCUUUUACGGUCUCUCAAGUGUUUCCCUACGGCACAGUUGAAUUACAUCAUCCAACAAAAGGAAACUUCAAAGUAAAUGGCCAACGUAUCAAGCACUACGUGGAAGAUUUUCCCACUGCUAAAGAGAGCCUUGACCUAGCUGUACCAGAAUAAGAGCGGCACAAAGUCAAGCUAACGACUUAAAAGAAGCGCUUAUUGGGAGGCAACCCAAUUUUCAAACUUUUUAUUUUGUUUUUCGUAUCGCAUAGCAUAUAGUUUUGUUUUGUUUACUAGAUUGCAUUAGAUUUAGGCACGUUUCAAUUUUUAGGAGUCAGCACCCAUAUCCCUUCCGCCCUCAAGC
rnacentral:lncRNA from 1 species